AAUCUAUGCAUCAAACAUUUCUGAAUUAAAUCUUUAAAUCGCUCCUAAGCUUCAUAUAGCAUUUCAUCCUCCAAUUGCCGAAAAGUCGUGAUGUCAUUUCUCAUCUU
rfam:Gossypium arboreum cultivar AKA8401 contig_42667_3, whole genome shotgun sequence.